rnacentral:lncRNA from 10 species
UGAGGUUAGGGAGGUUUGCACAUUUAAAGUGGGUGAAAGAAAGAGGGUGAAAUGAUAUUUCACCACAGAUGGAAAAAGAUAAAGAAUAAGUCAUGCUGAUAUCUGAUGGGAGAAAAUCCCAGGCAAAGGAAACAGAAAAUGCAAAUGCCUUGACUUGGGAAUGAGCCUCCUGUGUUCAGUGAGAGCAGGAAGACAGUGUUGCUGCAGCAGAACCACUGGGGAACUCAUGUUGGCUUCAUAAGUCCUUGGAAGCUCCUGUAAAGAUUUGCAUUUUCCUUCCCUGAGAUGAAUGCCAGCAGAGGAUAUCUAGGCCGAGGAGAGACAUGAUCUUUUUUUAUAUUUUAAAGGAUCUCUCUGACAGUUGUGUUGAUAAACUGAAAUGAGACAAAGGUGGAAAUAAGAAGAUCACUUAAGAUUUAUUGCAAAAACCAAGAGGAGGGAUGGUGGUGGCUUAGAUCAGGAUGGCUACAUUCAAGGUGGUGAAAAGUGAUUUAGACUCCAGAUAUACUUCUUUUUUUUUUUGACAGAUUCUCUCUCUGUCACCAGGCUGGAGUGCAGUGGUGCAAUCGUGGCUCACUGCAAUCUCUGCCUCCCAGGUUCAAGUGAUUCUCCUGCCUCAGCCUCCUGAGUAGCUGGGAUUACAGGCGUGUGCCACCACGCCCAGCUAAUUUUUGUAUUUGUUAGUUUCACCACGUUGGUCAGGCUGGUCUUGAUCCCCUGACCUUGUGAUCCACCCCCCUUGACCUCCCAAACUGCUGGGAUUACAGGCGUGAGCCACCGCGUCUGGCCUCCAGAUACACUUUAAAAAUAGGAUCAAGAGGAUAUCCUGGUGGACUGCAUGUGACCUUUGAAGAAAAGCAUGGUAGUCAAGAGCAGGAACUGUGAGGGAAAACGUCUGAUUCUGAAAUCCAGCUGUGACACUCACACACUCUAUUACCUCCAGUGACUGACUUGUGCCUCAGUUUCCUGAGCUGAAAAAUGGGAAAUACAAUAGCUCCUACUUCAAAGAAGUAUUAAGGACGGAAUGAAGUAAUAUACAUGAAGUACUUACAACACUGCAUACCUGUGAUGUCUAAUAAUUGAGUGUCAACAUGAUUGGAUUGAAGGAUGCAAAGUAUUGUUCCUGGGUGUGUCUGUGAGGGUGCUGGCAAAGGAGAUUAACAUUUGAGUCAGUGGACUGGGAGAGGCAGACCCACCCUCAGUGCGGGUGAGCACCAGCUAAUAAGCUGCCAUCGCGGCUAGAAUAGAGCAGGCAGAAAUUGGAAGGAUUUGACUUGCUGAAUCUUCCAGCCUUCAUCUUUCUCCCGUGCUGGAUGCUUCCUGCCCUCGAACAUCAGACUCCAAAUUCAGCCUUGGGACUCUUGGACUUACACCAGUAGAUUUGCCAGGGACUCUCGGGACAGACUGAAGGAUGCACUGUCAGCUUCCCUACGUUUAAGGUUUUGGGACUCGGACUGGCUUCCUUGCUCCUCAGCUUGCAGACGGCCUUUCAUGGGACUUCACCUUGUGAUCGUGUGAGUCAAUUCUCCUAAUAAACUCCCCUUCAUAUAUACAUCUCUCAUAUCAGUUCUAUCCCUCUAGAGAACACUGACUAAUACACUGCUCAUAAUAAGUACUUAAUAAGAAUUAGCUGUUGUUUUUAUAAUUAUUACUAUGGCUUGGUUAUUACUAUCUCAUUAUGCAUCCUUGAUGCCUACCACCUUCUCUUGUGUUUGAUGACCCUGAAUCAAAUGUGAGAGAGAACCCUAGUGGUGGAAAGGUGCCAGCGUCAUCCAGAUCACACAGAACCACUGGUGUAACAGAGCGCCUCGUCUUGUGUUGGAGGCGUACAUCAGGAUUUAUAGACAAACUGUGUCUCUUUGGGGAAAAUCAUCAACUGAUGCAGUACCAAGUGUGUGUCUUGGGGGUAUCCUUUCCUGGGUUGAACCCCCUCUUCUUCACAAUAUCCUAUGGAAAAAGUGUGUCAGAGGGAGAGUGCAGAUAGAGGAGACUAAAAGACAUUAAAGAGAUUGUCAAAAGUCAGAGGAUAAACUCUUUUUCAAC